UUUUUUGCUCCAAAUUGAAAUGGCGUGAAUAACAUUUUCCAUGGCUUAUAUUAUGAACUCAUUGGCUUUAAAUUGAAGGAUCCCUUCUUCCCAAACCUUGCCAAGCAAUCUCAGAACUCCAUUCCAUAGAAUUUAUUGAGGAUUUCAUUGAAAUCGAGUUCUUGAUUCCACUUCUGUUUGGGGACAAGAACUCCAAGAAUUCAUAUCCAU
rnacentral:lncRNA from 1 species